UACGGGGGGUGCGAGCGUUAUCCGGAUUUAUUGGGUUUAAAGGGUGCGUAGGCGGCCUAUUAAGUCAGGGGUGAAAGACGGUAGCUUAACUAUCGCAGUGCCUUUGAUACUGAUAGGCUUGAAUGUACUUGAGGUAGGCGGAAUGUGACAAGUAGCGGUGAAAUGCAUAGAUAUGUCACAGAACACCAAUUGCGAAGGCAGCUUACUAAAGUAUGAUUGACGCUGAGGCACGAAAGCGUGGGGAUCAAACAGG
rnacentral:rRNA from 1 species